GGGCCCGGAGCCACUCCACAGCCGCCGGCGAGGGAGCCAGGCAGCGGGAGGCGCGGGCAGGCCGCGCGACCCGCCCGGGGGCCGUCCAACGUGGGCGGCUGCCCCGGAGCCCGGGAGACGCAGAGCCUCCCGCGUGGACCCGCGGCGGCUCCCCCGCACCCUCCUCGCCUUUCUGCUGUUGCUCGUCCCGGUUCACAGAGAAGCGAAACCUAACGAGGGAACCGUCUAAACGAGAGAGCGACCAGGAGAGGAGAGGCGGCCAGGAAUCCCGGGCAACGAGAGACUGCCGGGCGGCGGCUGGCGCGGCGGCCGCAGAGGCUCCUCCGCCGCACUCGGGGGCCCAGCCGCGCAGCGGAGCGCGUGCAGCGAGGGCGGCUGUGCGAAAACCAGCAGUGAGAAGAAAACCAGCUGAUGAUAGGAGUUUAGGAAUAGGGUUCCUGGGCGUCCACGGUGAGACCACUGGCUAGAGGACUGGUCAGUUUGUGAGGACCGGCAUCUGUCCUGACCUGACCCUGAGAGCAGCUGUCACGCUGGUGGCACUGACGACCUAAGGGUUCAGAUGGGACGGUGGCUCCGCGGCGUGGUGUGGACCGGACUCCCUCCUGCGGUGCCUCUCCCCGUGUGUCCCCAGCCAGCGCCUCCCAGCGGUGCUGGGCGCUCACAUCGCCUGGAGAAAUAGAGAUGCGCUUGGCGGGGGGCGGGGGCUGGGGGGGGGCCGGCACGGCGGUCUGAACCGACCGCCAGAGGCGGGCUCUGAGGACGGUGACUCCCACUGGAUGAACGCCGAGCGACCCCCUGGGAAGCAGGAAGCAUUCGGAUAAACAAUGUUAACUACGUUUCCGAUCACAGGACUCAGAGAUGGAAGAGUGAACUUGGCUCUCUAAGAGGGUCAAGUACGCAGAGCUUCCCAAACUCAUGUGGCCCUUUUUUUAAAGGUUUUAUUUAGAGUAAUUGUAGAUUCAAGUGCAGUUAUAAGAAAUGAUGCAAAGACACCUGCACACCCCGCCCCCGCCAGGGGCAGCAUCUCCCCGAAGUGCAGCUCAGGAUCACGGCACGGAUACCGACACCAGCACGGCCAACACUCAGGACCCCCGACACCCACGGUCCCCUUUAUAGACACCCACCUCCCGCCAACCCCAACCUCGUCCUGAACCCCGGCAACCACUAAUCUGUCCUCCAUUUCCAUAAAGUUGUCAUCUCAAGAAUGUUUUAUAAGUGGACUCACACAGUGUGUACCUUUGGGGAUUGGCUCUUUUCACUCCAUGUGACUCCCUGGGCUCAUCCAGGUGGUUACACGUACCUGUAGGUUCGCUGCUGAGUAGUGUUCCAUGGUGUGGACGGACCAUGGCUGGUUUAACCAUUCACUUGUGGAAGGACAUCUAAGUUGAUCCAGUUUGGGCUAUCAUAUAUAAAGCUGCUAGAAACAUACAGAUGCUGGUGCAGAUAUAAAUUUCAGUUUCUUUGAUAUUAAUGUCCAAGAGCAUAAUUGCUGGGUCGUAUGGUAUUUGCACAUAUAAUUUUUUAAGAAACUGGCAAACUCUUCUCCAGAUGGCGCUACCAUUUUACGCUCCCACCAGCAAUGCAUGAGUGAUCCAGUUUCUCAGCAUCCUCACCAGCAUUUGGAGUUGUCACUAUUUUUUAUUUUAGCUCUUAUGAUAGGUGCUACCCCGUGUGGCUGUAACUUGCAUUUCCCUACUGGCUAAUGAUGUCAAACAUUUUUCCAUAUUUUAUUUGCCGUUAAUCCUCUUUGGUGAAAUAUCUCUUCAAGUUCUAACUGGACUGCUUGCUUUUUGGCUCUUUUAUUUUUUGUUUUUUGAGGUCCAAUUCUUCCAUUUUUUCUUUUAUGGAUUCUGUUUUUGGUGUCAAGUCUAAGAACAACAAAGACGUGUAGCCAUGGUGAGCGGGGGUUACUCUUCAUUGCAGUGCACAGGCUCCUCAUUGUGGCGGCUUCUCCCGUUGUGGAGCACAGGCUCCAGGCACGUGGGCUUCAGCAGUUGCAGCACACGGGCUCUAUAGUUGUGACUCAUGGGCUUAGUUGCUCUGCGGCAUGUGGUAUCCUCCCGGGGCAGGGAUCGAACCCGUGUCCCCUGUACUGGCAGGCGGACUCCCAACCACUGCACCACCU